AUAUGCGAUUGGGUCGGUUAGGUCACGAUGGCUCUCCGCGUCCUCUGUUCCCGUCCUUCCUCCCUGAUCUACCACCGCUUCUUGUGGACGAUCGAUCGUCUUCUAAUUAAGAAUAUUAGGGUUCGUAAGCAGGUAGCCACCGCUGCAUAGGGGAGGAGGAUUUGAUUUCUUCUUUUCCCGAUCAAUGGGGUUACUCUUUAUGUUUCCUAUGCAUGGCACCCUCCAACGGGAUGGCGUGGUAGCUCGGAUGGCCUGCUUCUCUGCAGGCAACCGCUGCCGCCAUUCUCUUUCGGAGAGGCGCAAGUAAGGAGGACAUCGACAAAUUGAAGAAUGAUUUGAUAGGGACCCUUUGCGUGGAAUUUGUGAUCUUCGUUUGAGGCGGCUCGGAGCCUCUUCCUCUGGUAUCUCUCUUCCAAGAAACGAAUCUGUUCGUUCAUGCUUGUGCGUUGUUUCCUGAAAUUUCUAAGCAGGAUGAUUGAUUGCCUUAGUUCGGAAAAGAAGUUUCGUAUGUAGCGGUCGGUGAUUGAGAUUUAAUUUGCCCUUUUUUUUUUCCGCCUUGACGUGCGAGCGAAAAAAAAUUUCUUGGAUCUGAAAAUUCCAUCGACUACGCUUUUCGGCUUGAUCCUCACCCUCCGUCGACGAACUUUCCGGAGGAACCUUUAGGUUUUCGGGGCAUUCGAUUCUCACCAAUAUUUUUUGGGUGGCUCGUUUAUGUCAAUUGCCUAUUAAUAUUUCAAACUUAUACUUCUAAGACCAAUUCUCUCAAAUCUUUUUCUUUUUUUGGUGUAAACGGAAAGUGGUGAAUACAUGAUAUGAUUCCAGGACCUUUCAAUAUAAACAGAUAAAGUCUUUACAUUCUAAGUUGGCCAACACUUUUGUAUACAUUAAAAGAAUUGCGGUGAUCAACUCACCUCACGUCAUUACCUUCCUGUGAAGGGGGUCGAAUACAGAAUUUCCAUUCUCAGAUUUCAAAGCCUGUAAGUUUCAGGUUUUGAAAUCCCACGUGGCAAUCUCCAGAUUUCACCACUGUGCCCUUCAAAUGGUGGCAUGAUAUCUUGUAUAUUAUGCUUCUCCACAUGCAAGUGCUGCCACCAUUCCUCAAAGAGAGACAUGUUUAGAGGAGGUAAAAAAAGGAAGGAAUUCUGGUCUCUCCUUGUUAUAGUGCUGGCAGUGCUGGCGGAUCUGAGAUUCUCCUUAUGGUAUCUCUUGCUAUUAAUAGAGACCAAUCCUUCUGUUCAUGUUUGUAUAUUUUUUUCUCAAGUUUAUAAGUAGUGAAAUAAUUUAGAUGUGUCAUUUUUCAUCUUCUUCUCAUUUUCUUAAUCUGUGGUGAAUUGAGAUUCUGAUUGCUCAUUUUUUGUUUUUUUUAAUUGUUUGUAUUCCAGGAUUUUUUGAGGUUCAGAAUUUCACAAAAUGGGAAUCACUUUUUUGUCCUUUCAGAAAGAUUGAUAGGUUUUUUUCUUGUUUGUCAACUGCCCAUUACUUUUUAACUUACCUUUGUAUCUGAGCAAUUGACAAGUCAGUUGACUAAUAUAAGUUUAAUGGUAUCUAGGAGCAGUUGUCGGAAAGGUCAGGUGCUCAUCAACACAAAUUUCUUAUAAAAGGUUUUGCUUGUAUCCUUGCAAGAUAACUGCUUUUUUUGUAUCAAUUGCCAUAUCUCUUCUAGUGAAGUGAGGCAUACAUUCAUGCAAUUUCCCCACAAAGGGGUUGUUUUUUCAUUUCAUAAGGGUUUAUUUAGGCUUUAUGUAAAUUGCCUUUCUUAUUUCGAGCUAGCAUGCUCUCUAUUUUCUACAAACUCAAUUCUCCCACCAAUUAUCAGAUACUACCGUCCAUCUAUUUUUACUCUUAUGCAUGCGUGUGAAAAAGGUGUGACGGUCAAUUGUGAGGUUUUUAUGUGUGCAUUGCUUUAGUCACCCACGAAUGAAAUUCCAAAAAAUCACCCUAGAAAGCAGAAUAAGGCAAAAAUCAAUGACAUUGGCACCAUUCAUGAUUGGUAAACCAUUGAUGAUAUUGGCGGUUAAACCAUCUAGGUUUCUUUUGAGCUUGUCUUGUGGGUGUAGAAGGCAUUCUCAUUAUAAAUAUCUGUCAAGUUGGAAGGAAGGAGCCUUCAUCUUAUUGUCUCUUUCAUGGCAUUUAUUUUUACAAUUAUGGCAUGUAGCUAGGUGGCCUGGUUUUUCCCAGGCAACUGUUGCUGCUAUUCUUUAUCUUCUACGUUGAGGCACAGUAAGUAGAUUCCAAAAGGAUGGAUGUGACUUUUCUAUCCCUGAUUGAUUGAAGGCAGAUCUGAGCCCUUAUAUGAUAUCUUUCUUUAUUUAAGAUGAUUCAUGUUUAGAUAAAAUUUCCAGUUUGUAGAGCUAAAUUGUUUACAAUUUAAUAAAUUCCAUCUUGCUUUUCUGUAUGGUGAUUGCAUUUUGAUUUUCUAUAUUCUGUUCUUUUAUUGCAUGUAUUUUAGAUUUUUUUUGUAUUGUAGCUGAAUUUUAAUGUUGCUAUAUGUUUAUUUACCUGUUCAUGGCUUUUGGUUUCCUUCUUUAUGUUUGAAAAUCUGUACAAUUGAUUUGCCAAAAUAAUAAGUUCGAGCAGUGAAGUUUGCAUUUAGUGAGUAGUUCACUAAAACUAUGACAAAUUUAUGAGGAUUGUUUGUGUGCAUAAAAGAAUGAAUGUGAGCAUGGCCAAUGAGACCAGCGAUGGAUGGAAUAAUGUAUUACAUCCCAAUGAUUUCUCCAGAAACAUCCUCUUAUGCAUCUCCUUGACAAACCUAAUGUUUGCGUCCGGCUGAAAAUUACCAUAGAAAAUUGCUUUAGACAUCAAUACAAGAAAACUCCAAAAGGAAAUCCUGGUCAGUUUUAAAAAAAAUAAAGGGGAACUCUGCUGUUAUGUUAUGUAUGAGAUUGAUGUGAUUGACAAUUACGACCAUAUGUAUUUUCUUCCCUGGACUUCUUUUGUGGGUGAAAAAAGCAAUUGUCAUUGCAAUCUUUUAUGCUAACCAGGUGCCACUUUUGUGUUCCUUUGUGGGUGACUGAAUCACUCCUUGAAAGCGGUCAGUUAUCCUUUUGGGUUUAUAUGCUCUGAUUUAGUUUAUUAUCGGAAUCUUUCAAGUUUCCCAUUUAACAUUGAAUGUCCAUCUGCCACACAAAGUGAAUGGACCCUUCCAGGUGUCCUCUUCUAUACGGAGGCUAUGAUGAUUUAUCUGAAUGCGAGGCCAUAUUUGUAUAUCAGAUUUUGUAAGAAACAACCACUAUUGGCUCCUCUUUUUGUUUAAUCUUUAAGAUGGCAUGGUAGCUCAGAGGGCCUGCUACUUAGGCAAGGGCUGCAGCUUUUCUUAAGAGAGACAGGGAGGGGACAAAGUAAGGAAGGUUUCUCUAUAUCUGAUCGAUUGAAGAAAAUCUGAGCCUCUCUUAGUGCUGUCUCUGCAAUCCCUUGGUAUUGAGGCUGGUAAGGCAGAAGUGGCAGGGAAGAUACUGCUCAUUUAUCUCAUUAGUUUAAGUAUGAGGCUGUCGAGGAAGCCGAUGAUUCUUUUUAUCUUGUGCAUUUAGAGGCUGUGAUGAUUGGCCCUCACAGUGGAAUGUGGGGGUUCAUUAAUAUCAUAUAGAUGGAAGAAACAAUCCUGCCUCUGAAUGGCUUCUCUGUUGCAUUUGUUUAUAUGAAACAAAGGCAUGGCAGCUUGGACGGCCUGCUUCUCUGCAGGCAACCGCAACCGCCUUUUGUUAAUAGAGGCAUGGUGAGGACAUUCUAGGAGGAGGAUGUAUAUGUCUCUCCACUGAUGUGUUGAAGUCCGAUCUGAGCCUUCCUUUGCAGGAAACAAUUGUGGCCUCUUAUGAAUGCCAACGAGAUCUCUGAUAAGUGAAAGACCUGGUGGCCUCUCCCGCCCAACACUUAGAACUUUCCUCUUUUGAGUAUCACAGUGUUAAUGUCAGCUUCAUAUAAAUUUGUGUAUCUCCAUGUCCUUCAGCAGUAGCUUGAAGAUUUUUCUUUCAGACAAGUCUCAGUUCUCUGAUUAUCAAGAGGUUCUUAUUUCAGUUGCUUUCAAGGUCACCGAAGCCAACUGAGUUUAUGUUACGAUUGGUGACACUCUUCUGUGGGGUUGCUUGAAAUUACAUCUCGUCCUGCAUUUCUUUAUCUAAAUUAGUUGAGACAGCUACAUCUGCUGAGGAUGGAUGCGGGCCACUUGUGAUGUUUAUUCUUUCAAGAGACUUAGCGGUGCAUUUUUCAUCUUUGAUCUUGCUGAGAGAUCUAAAUUAAGAAACAAUUUUAGUAGAAGUGGCAUAAGUGAUGCUGCCAAAAAUCAGAUAUAAGUUUGCUGAUCUGAUUGGUAAAUGGUUCUUACCAUCAACCAUCUUAACUACAUCUUGGAAAGAGAUUCGAUCUACUCAAAGAUCAGAUACAAAGGCCUUUACUCUUUAUCUGGCAGGGAUUGGCUCACGCGAACUUUUAGUCAAAAAGGUGUUCUGUAAAUCAACCCUUUUUUAUUGCCAGGCUAUUUUUCGCCUUCUGUUUCCAUUAGCGAAACGUGGUAUCAAGUUGCAGCUUGUGCUCUAGCUAGGAACAAUUGUCUGGAUUGGAAGGAAUUGUGUGCUAAUACACCAAUAUUCUGCCGAAUUGUUUUGAUCGAAUUAAAAAGGUAAUUUAUUUUGUCUUAGCCUCUUGA